UAACAGCCAAAAGACUAUGGCAGAGUCAUGCUCCCUCUUGGGUCCUCAGUUUUCUUUUAUGAGAAUCCAGGGAAUUAAGAUUGUUAUAUCUGUGGUCCCUGCCAGAACUAAUGAACUAUGAAUUAAAUUUUUUCAGAUGCUAAACUGGCCAAUUCAAUGAAUCAGAUUCUCUUUUAUCCUGAUGUUCACGAGGAAAAAAGAAUUGGUAAAACAAUAACUUAUACCAGAUACUGUGCUGAUAUGCUUAUCAUUUCACCGACCAACAAACUGAUAUUCAGGAUGAAAUGACUCAACUAAACCACAACAGCAAUUCCUAUGGCCUGGUGGGGAAUUAGGACAGAAGCAGCCCAGAUUCUCACACCUUCUGCAUUUGCACCCAGAAUCUCAGAAAAUCAGGCUAUGAUCUUAAUGGUAAUAAUGAAUGAUAAUAUUGAAUGCUAAUAGAUCUUAAAAUAUCUUGUGAAUUAUCAAAGAAAGCUUAAAUCAUACCAGUGUAUGAUUUUAGUGUUUAGCAAAGUGUGUUGCAAUUUAGUAUUUGGAGACCAAGUAUCAGUAAAUGAUAUAGAUGGCAACAACAUGAACCAGAAUUUUCCAUUGCCCAGAAUAUUCCAUUGCCUAGCCACCUUAGGUAAACAGGAAUUUACUGUGGCAUCAAAACAAUAGUGGCCUCUAAGGACUAUAUUCUGGGAGUCUCAGGCUUGCCAACUGUCCAGCAAUGGGUCAACUGCAGACUCACUGUCCACUCUAGCUGGGCAUUACUGGGAUCCAAUCAGUCUCCACUUCAGAAAUCAUGGGCGGUGUUUCCAUGGAGCUCUGCCCGAAAAGAGGUGAUCUAAAUCUUGCAUGAGAGAUGUACAUCAAUAGGGAGCUUUGCCUAGAACACUGUGACCUAAAAAAUCAUAUUAAGGAACUCAGAAUGCAGAGUCAGUUUCAGAGACACCAGGUGACCUUGUGCAAGGCACCUUGUAGAUUGCCUUGCUGACUGGACUCCCCUAAUGAAUGGUGACUGCCUCUGCCACCCACCUACUACCAACUGCAAGUUGAAGAGCCUUGGGAGUAGUUUGUCCAGAAGGGCCACUGCGCCUAGAACCUUCUGGGAGGUCGAGCACCCGAAAAGAGGAAGAAGAUAAUCAUCUCUCCCUGGACUUGUAUAGAUGUUCUGCACUCUUUAUCAACCACCUAGGCUGCCAUGCCUGAAGGAGGACGAAGCUGCGCUCACAAGAGAUUGAGAUGUUCAUACAAUUAAUCAGCUACGUCUUUGUGUUGUGUAUCACGAUGUCUAAUUUCCAGAGGAAAGAUCACUUUCAAACCACAUAAAUGAUGAUGCUUUUGGGAAAAAAGACAGCAAAAAGGAAAACCCAUCUCUCCUCAAUGUAGAGAUUUCACUAUGAACUCACCUAUUGUUUUUAUUUUACACCCACAGUCUUGAUGCUUAUUAUCUCUGAAAUCAUUUCAGUUUCCAAAAAUUAUUUGAAACACUCCUACAUCUGGGGCUUUUGAUAAACAGUCCAACUUCUACAGACAGAAACAGUUGUGCGUGUGUGUGUGUGUGUGUGUGUGUGCAAACGCAUGAUGUGUUUAAGAGACAGAAGGAUGAGUUUAAGGGAGAGGGAAAAAGUGAUGGCACCCUUCUGAGCUACACAGACUGGACACCUGUGAAGACCUGAGUAGGUUUCACUGUAACACACAAAGACGUCUAUAAGCAUGGGUCUUCCCUCCAUGGAUCUCUCUCUUGAGACUGCAAGAAACUUUGGGGUAAUUUUACUCUGAUGCUAAGAAUACAAAUCAUGAUGAACGUUUUGAGCACUUACAAUGUUCCAGGAAAUUUUCUAAGAGCUUUAAUACACGUGAAAUCACAUAUUACUCACAAGUCAAUGAGGUUGAUACUAUUCUUAUCACAUUCUACAGAUGAAAAAAAAAAAUAAUCACAGAGAAGUAGGCUCCCAAUCACUGGCUUAAUCACAAUGAAUUAAAAUCUUGCCUGACAACCAUCAAGACUGGAGAGGCCACUUCCUGUGGGAGGAGCUUUCAGUGAGAUGGAAUCUCUCUCCUCUCAACUACCUCCAGCUUUCUCAUGGCAUUGAAGCCACUGCCUUAAGCUACAGUAAUCUGUGUGCCUGUUAAAUCAUCUCUGGGAAGAUCCUAAAGUCCUUAUGAUCAGGGUAGUAUUAAAAUUAUCCUUGUUUUCCCACAGCCAUGGCAAAAGUGCCUGGCACUGCAUAGGCAUUUUAGGAGAUACUAGUUGAAAAAGUGAAUGAAGAAACCCAAGUUUCAGACCUGAGUUUGCACAAUCAUGUUAGAAAAAUUGAUACAGACAGCUCUUCAGGACCAAAGCUGGCUAAAUCUUGAGACAAUGAUCUGUGACUAUUAAAAUAAAACAUGUUAUUUGUUUUUAA